GGGAGCCGGCGGGCGGCCGUGGUGGUUGUCGGUGGCGGCGUCGCCGGCGCGCUCAUCGCCAGCUCCCUCCAGAGCUAUGCCGACGUCGUCAUAAUCGACCCGAAAGAGUACCUUGAAAUUCCAUGGACUAACAUGAGAUCAAAGGUGGAGCCAUCUGUUGUUGAGAAAUCAUUAAUUAACCACAGUGAUUACUUGAGUGGUGAAGUCAUUUCAGCCUCUGCUACUGAUGUAAGUGGAGAGGCUGUGAUCACAGCAGAGGGUCGUUUGGUGGAGUACACAUACCUUGUCAUAGCCACAGGUCACACAAAUUAGUGUCCACGAACAAGGAGAGACAGGCUGGAACAGUUUCAAGAAGAUGACGUGAAGAUAAAAUAUUCCGAUUCGAUUCUUAUUGUUGGUGAGCCAUCAGGCGUUGAGCUUGCUGCUGAAAGAGCUGUGAAUUAUCCAGACAACAAGGUGACACUGGUUCAUGACAGACCAAGAUUGUUGGAAUCUGUUGAUCAAAAAGCUGGUGGUAAGGCACUGCUUUGGCUGAGAUCGAAGAAUGUUGAAGUUUAUUUGGAGCAGUUGAUCGAUCUAGAGUUCAUGUCAGAGGGAGAUAGGCUCUACAGGACGUCGUCGGGGAUAGAGAUAACAGCUGAUUGCUACUUCUCGUGCCUCGACAGACCACUGAGUUCUUCAUGGAUUAGAGGUUCUGAGCUGGAAGAUUGCUUGGACAAUGAUGGAAGAUUGAUGGUUGAUGCAAAUCUAAGAGUGAAAGGCCAGGUUAAUAUUUUUGCUGCUGGUGAUAUCAUUGACAUUCCGGAGCUCGAGCAAGGAUAUUUCGUGCGGAGACAUGCCAUGAUAGUCUCCAAAAACAUAAAGCUUUUGAUGCAUGGGGCUAAAGAAAGCAAGCUAUUGAAAUAUAAACAUUCGACAGCAAUGCCGAUGGUCUCACUCGGUAGAAGGAUGCCGUGGCGCAGCUAUCCUUCGCCACGGUCCGGGCACCUUCCUGCGAUGUGGAAAUCCCGGGACUUGUUCGUGCACAGAACAAGGACUCUGCUGGGGCUUCCACGGUGA
rnacentral:rRNA from 1 species